rnacentral:rRNA from 1 species
GAGUUUGAUCAGGCUCAGGAUGAACGCUAGCGGCAGGCUUAACACAUGCAAGUCGAGGGGUAGAGUUAGCUUGCUAACUUGAGACCGGCGCACGGGUGCGUAACGCGUAUGCAAUCUACCUUGUACAGGGGGAUAGCCCAGAGAAAUUUGGAUUAAUACCCCAUAGUGUAACGGAAAGGCAUCUUUUUGUUACUAAAGUUCCAACGGUACAAGAUGAGCAUGCGUCCCAUUAGCUAGUUGGUGUGGUAACGGCAUACCAAAGGCAACGAUGGGUAGGGGUCCUGAGAGGGAGAUCCCCCACACUGGUACUGAGACACGGACCAGACUCCUACGGGAGGCAGCAGUGAGGAAUAUUGGUCAAUGGGCGCAAGCCUGAACCAGCCAUGCCGCGUGCAGGAUGACGGUCCUAUGGAUUGUAAAACUGCUUUUGUACAGGAAGAAACACUCCCUCGUGAGGGAACUUGACGGUACUGU